UUAUCUAACCCGGAUGACGAUUGAUGACCACGAAUAGCAUAUACACGUCGAUUGUCUGAUGGUAUCCUAGACAAUGGCUUUUCCAUCUGAAGAUGUACCAUCGACUAAAGAUCAAAAGAAGAGAAAACGUAAUGGAAUUAACGAUUUGACAAACCGAUUUUCAGUGAAUGGACGAAAACAACUACCAAUAAAGACUAAAAAUAAAAAGAGCAGGAAGUUUUCAAAAAUGGACCACCAAUGGAUAACAAAGAAGAAUCGUCAUCUCCUAAGAAGAAAACAAAUUAGGGUUAUGA